rnacentral:rRNA from 1 species
UACCAGCACCCCGAGUGGUCGGGACGUUUUAUUGGGCCUAAAGCAUCCGUAGCCGGUUCUACAAGUCUUCCGUUAAAUCCAACUGCUUAACAGGUGGGCUGCGGAAGAUACUAUAGAGCUAGGAGGCGGGAGAGGCAAGCGGUACUCGAUGGGUAGGGGUAAAAUCCGUUGAUCCAUUGAAGACCACCAGUGGCGAAGGCGGCUUGCCAGAACGCGCUCGACGGUGAGGGAUGAAAGCUGGGGGGAGCAAACAGG